rnacentral:tRNA from 1 species
GGCUGGUUAGCUCAGUCAGUUGAGUGUGGCGUUAACAGCGCUAAGGUCAUGGGUUCGAUUCCCAUUCGAUCCC